rnacentral:rRNA from 1 species
AGGAUAAACGCUGGCAGCGUGCCUAACACAUGCAAGUCGAACGCGCUUGCUAUCCGCGAGGACGGUGAGCGAGUGGCGGACGGGUGAGGAACACGUGGGUGACCUACCUUUCAGUGAGGGAUACCGGCGAGAAAUUGCCGACAAGACCGCAUACGCUUCUCUUUUCAAGGGGAGAAGGAAAGCUUUUCGCAAGAGAGGCGCUGGGAGAUGGGCCUGCGGCCGAUUAGCUAGCUGGUGGGGUAAUGGCCUACCAGGGCGACGAUCGGUAGCUGGUCUGAGAGGACGAUCAGCCACACUGGGAUUGAGAACGGCCCAGACUCCUACGGGGGGCAGCAGUGAGGAAUUUUCGGCAAUGGGGGCAACCCUGACCGAGCAACGCCGCGUGCAGGACGACGGCCUUCGGGUUGUAAACUGCUUUUCUCUGGGACGAGCAAGGACGGUACCGAGAGGAAGAACGCCCGGCUAACUACGCGCCAGCAGCCGCGGU